AAUUUUGGACAAUGGGGGAAACCCUGAUCCAGCCAUCCCGCGUGUAUGAUGAAGGCCUNCGGGUUNUNAAGUACUUUUGGCAGAGNCGAAAAGAUAUCUCCUAAUACGAGAUACUGCUGACGGUAUCUGCCGAAUAAGCACCGGCUAACUACGUGCCAGCAGCCGCGGUAAUACGUAGGGUGCAAGCGUUAACCGGAAUUACAGGGCGUAAAGCGUGUGUAGGCGGUUCGGAAAGGAAGAUGUGAAAUCCCAGGACUCAACCUUGGAACUGCAUUUUUCACUGCCGAGCUAGAGUAUGUCAGAGGGGGGUAGAAUUCCACGUGUAGCAGUGAAAUGCGUAGAUAUGUGGAGGAAUACCGAUGGCGAAGGCAGCCCCCUGGGAUAAUACUGACGCUCAGACACGAAAGCGUGGGGAGCAAACAG
rnacentral:rRNA from 1 species